rnacentral:lncRNA from 1 species
GUUUAUUGAAAGCCAGCGGAAUACUCCAUUUCACCCGCUUCAGUGGGAAACGUUUCGCAGAAAAACACAAGAAGGGGUCUUCAUUCCUGGACGCCCCGUGAUGUGUCCCCUCCGGCUCUCCGGAAGCUUCUACAGCCGGGGCUUUGGCGACCUGCCCACGGAGCCCCAGGACCCGAGCCCCGCGGAAUUCUCGGGGGUCCGCGCGGCUGCCGGCGGUCAGCGGCUUUCAACGCUGGGCUCGGGCUCAGGCCUCUCCUUUUCCACGGGGGUUCACCGCAUCGUCUGCCCCGAGUCCGGCUUCCCCGCUGGCCCCGCCUGAGGACGGUCGCCGUGACGCGCUGUCUUCACCUGCUGAUUCGUCCCUUCUGGAGGCUCGUGGCCUCCCCCGGCCUGAGGCUGACGUCUGGGCUCAGGACGGUGUCCCACGGCUCCAGAGGGGAUUCCGCGCGUUGACCAACAGUCUGGACAUUCAUACUCACCUGCCCGAGUUUCUGGUGCGUCUGCAGGAAACGAGAGACUCUGUGUCUUUGCCUCGUGAGCUCCGUCUGCAGCCCUGGGGCUCUGAGAACAUGACAGGCGCCCCCGUGAGUCGCCGGCACCCGUGGUCGCUGGGGCCCCGGCCGCUGAGCCGUGGGGAUGCACAUCCACGGAUGGGGAGGGAGGCCCAGGCAGCAGGGAGCGGGCAGGGGGGCGGCGGGUGAGCGCCUGCGUCAGGCCGGUGCAGCCCGGGGAGCGCUGGCCACGGGGACUCAGACGCCCCCGGCGUGUGCUUCAUGCAGGUUCUGGCUCCGUCUCGUCCCGACUGUGUGGCCCUGGGCAGGUCACUCGACCUGAGCUCUGGGGCACUGCACACGGUCAAGCAAGGCCCCGGGCCCAGGGACGGGAUGGGACGGGGGUGACGGGGACAUCUGCAGGCCCCUCCUCCGGGCAGAAGCUUUUCUGUUUUCCAGUUUCCAACCCAGGGCUGUGGAGCGUGUGCAGGGUGUGCUGAGCGCGAUCCCCGGGCGCCCCCAGGCCUCCUGGGUCACGUGCCUUCCACCGAGCUCGGGCUGGGCCGCGGCUGCAGGGGCGCCCUCUGCUCCCCAGGGGUGGGGUCUCCGAGCUGGGCCGCCUGUGAGGUCAUCGUGGGGCGCGGGGGGCCCUUUCUUGCACCUUCUCGCUCGGACUUCUGGGUAAGUUCUGGGGAAGGAGCAGGUUUUCCGGGUGGUGCUUCUUUUUCGGGGUGUGUGGGUGAGGGGAGGCUCGGCCUGCCCGAGGUGACCCUCAGGCCUGUUGUCCGUGAGUCCUGGGGUUGGGGAGGGGACACCUGGGGACAGCUGGGAGCAGGGCGGGAGCACAGGCCCUGGCUUCCGUGCAGGGUGUGUGGCAGGCAGACCCGUGGGUCCUUGUCACGGCCCCGAGGCCCCGAGGUGCACGUGGUGACGGACUGUCCUCACUCGACUGCUCAACUCCCGGGACCUGGCUCCUGGGCUCGGAGCUUCCCUCCAAACCGUCCGGUUUCAGCGAGCGUCCUGCUGGCCCGCGAGGCAGGAGCCCGGGGCCUGGCAGCUGACCGGCCACCCCGAUGCCUCCUGCGGGGAUCCCAGGGGCCCCUGCUCCUGGCUCUCGCUCCCGCCGUGUCUGAGAGCAGCGCAGGGCGGAGGCCGCGGCAGUGCAGGCUCCUCCGUGUCAGGCGGCUGUGGGGCAGGUGUGGGCCCCGCGCUGAGCGCAGCGUGGACGUGGGCGCGGCCCUCGGGGAGGACCUUUCUCCAGCAGUGAGACCCGAGCCAGCCCCUGACUGA